rnacentral:rRNA from 1 species
UACGUAGGGUGCGAGCGUUAAUCGGAAUUACUGGGCGUAAAGCGUGCGCAGGCGGUUAUGUAAGACAGUUGUGAAAUCCCCCGGGCUCAACCUGGGAAUUGCAUCUGUGACUGCAUAGCUAGAGUACGGUAGAGGGGGAUGGAAUUCCGCGUGUAGCAGUGAAAUGCGUAGAUAUGCGGAGGAACACCGAUGGCGAAGGCAAUCCCCCUGGACCUGUACUGACGCUCAUGCACGAAAGCGUGGGGAGCGGAACAGG